GAUGAAGAACGCAGUGAAAUGCGAUACGUAAUGUGAAUUGCAGAAUUCAGUGAAUCAUCGAAUCUUUGAACGCACAUUGCACUCUCUGGUAUUCCGGAGAGUAUGCUUGUUUGAGUAUCUGUAAACAUCUCAAAUCUCUCUUCGCUUGCGUCGAGAGAAUUGGAUUUGAGCGAUCCCGACUCCUUCGUCAGAAAGAGGAGGGUCGCUUGAAAUGCAGGUGCAGCUGGACAUUCUUCUGAGCUAAAAGCAUAUCUAUUUAGUCCCGUCAAACGGAUUAUUACUUUUGCUUCAGCUAAUAUAAAGGUCGAAUGAACUACCAACGCUGAUUGCAGGAAAACUCGUUUGUAACAGAACUUGUAAACUCGAUCUCAAAUCAAGUAAGACUACCCGCUGAACUUAAGCAUAUCAAUAAGCGGAGGA
rnacentral:misc_RNA from 1 species